UUAUUUCUCCCGUUUCAGAAAGAUCGCUUUCCUACAACUUCUGGCCGUCUGCUUUGCCUGGCUGAGGAGACACCCCAGACUUCCUCCACCCACAUGGCCUUGCAGCCAAAGACCCAAAAUGCAGGGAGUGGUCCAAUUAAAAAUCUGGGCAGGCAAGGAAAAGCAGGCAUCAAAGGACAACCCCAUUCCCCUUACAAAAAAAAAGGAAAGAAAAGAAAGAAAGAGCAGUAUGUAAAUAUUUUAUUUCAAGUUCUUUUGUGCUAAUUAAGGAAUAUGGACAGUUUUUAAUAGGGUCAGCAACUACUCAUUUGGAGUGGAAUCUUUUUAAUGGACUGGGAUAAACAAGAAAGAAUGCCUUAAAGUGAAGUCUCAUUACGCAGGCACAGCCCCAAACCAUGUUCCUUUCGGGCAUCUGCUGGCUUCCAGGACGUUCGUGGGCGAGGUGAGAUGUGCCCAAAGGAGGUACCUCUUUCAGAGGGCAUCUGUGUGAGAGCAGACGCAGGCGGCCUCAGUCACCGAGCAUGCACUUCAAGACUGUCAUUUUAAUUCUGAAGUGUUCACGUAUCCUACUCAUUUCUGAAAACACACGUGCCAGCUCGGCGUCUAGCUCAGGGGAUGUCAAAAUUCAGGAUGCAUGGGCUGCACAUCGGUGUCAACCCUUGGGCUUGGCUGGGACCACCUGGGUUGGCCAGCAACUUUGACGGAUGCAAUCCAGAAGAGGAAACAAUAUCUCUGUUGACAGCCACUGCUCUUGGCCUGAAUUCGUCAAACAAAACCCUGGCAAGGUCAUCCUGUUAUCCUCCUGGUGCCCUGGGAAAACAGAGAUUACGAGGGUCAACUCCGACCAACGCUCCCGAGACUCGAGCCUUCUGGCUGCGUGACCGGUGGUUACCCACACUGCACAGGAAAAGACAAAUCCUCGCUUUUUAAAUGUACCUGACAUUGUAAUGAGCCUGACAUUAUAAUGAGCCAUAGUAAGGUAGACGUUAACAGUGGGGGAAACUGAGUGAGAACUCUACUAUCUUUGCAACUUCUCUACAAAUCUAAAAUGAUUCCGAAUGAGUUUAUUUUAGAGAAAUAGACCCACAACCUGGAGGUAUAAAUACUUCCCAAAGGAGUAUACAGCAAGUGACUCCUCUCAUCCCGUCCCUCGGUCCAUCCCUAAGUUGGCCACAGGCAGCACUGUGCCUGCCAGCAUGUGUCACGCUGCCAGGGAUGCAGUCUGUGCAGGGAGGAGGAAAUAAAGUGGCUACGUAAUAAUGGAAGGUGGGCCCUGAUUUCCACUGGAGGCUCAAGGAAGGCUUUUCAGAAAAAAUAAUACGUACAGAUUUUAACUCACCGAUGUAUGAGUGUGCAGUGAAUUAUAAAUGGCAAGAUGGUAUGCAUUGAGACUAGCUUCGAUUGGUGGUAUAUCUUUCAGCUUGACCAUGUCUUUGCCAAAUAAGGAUCUUUAAUAAAAAAAAAAAAAAAUUACGGGGAUGCCUGGCUGGCUCCAUCGAUGAAGCACCAGACUUCAGCUCGGGUCAUGAUCCUAAGGUUUGUGGGUUCAAACCCCACGUCAGGCUCUGUGCUGAUGGCUCAGAGCCUGGAACCUGCUUCGGAUUCUGUGCCUUCCUCUCUCUCUGCUCCUCCCCCACUCAUGCUCUGUCUCUCUCUCUCUCUCUCUGUGUGUGUCUCUCAAAAAUAAACAAACAUUAAAAAAAAUUACAAGGAAUUUUUACAAUUAGCUACCUUCCUCAAUCUCCAAAAGGAGAGAGGCUCUUGUUUUUAGGCAAUCUGAUGUGAGGGAAGGACAAGGUGUUCAGAAGCCUGAGAGAUCGGGGUUCAAACCUCAGUUAAAUGGCUUUCUGGAAGUGUGAUCUUGAAAAAGUAGCUCAUAAUCUCUGAAUUUCAGACUCUUUAUAUGAAAAAUGAAGACAAUCAUACCCACCUAAUAGGAUCAUGGCAUGGAAACAUACAGAUACAUCGUGUUUACUGAUACAUUGUGUGUGCUCAGAAAAUAAAUAUAUGGAUGAAUGAUUAAAUACGUACUAAGACUUAAAAUGAGUAUUUAUGCCUAAUAAAUAUUUUUUAACGAAAAAAAAAAAAUCUCAGGCACUCCAAGCCUAUUGGUUAAGAAAAGUCACAUGAGGGGCCCCUGGGUGGUUCAGUGGGUUAGGUGUCUGACUCUUGAUUCCGGCUCAGGUCAUGAUCUCACGGUUUGUGAGAUCGAGCCCAGCAUCCAGCACCCCACUGAGCGAGGAGCCUGCUUGGGAUUCUCUCUCUGCCCUUCCCCCUGCUUACAUACGUGCGUGCUC